rnacentral:rRNA from 1 species
GACGAACGCUGGCGGCGUGCUUAACACAUGCAAGUCGAACGGAAAGGCCCUGCUUUUGUGGGGUGCUCGAGUGGCGAACGGGUGAGUAACACGUGAGUAACCUGCCCUUGACUUUGGGAUAACUUCAGGAAACUGGGGCUAAUACCGGAUAGGAGCUCCUGCUGCAUGGUGGGGGUUGGAAAGUUUCGGCGGUUGGGGAUGGACUCGCGGCUUAUCAGCUUGUUGGUGGGGUAGUGGCUUACCAAGGCUUUGACGGGUAGCCGGCCUGAGAGGGUGACCGGCCACAUUGGGACUGAGAUACGGCCCAGACUCCUACGGGAGGCAGCAGUGGGGAAUAUUGCACAAUGGGCGGAAGCCUGAUGCAGCAACGCCGCGUGCGGGAUGACGGCCUUCGGGUUGUAAACCGCUUUCGCCUGUGACGAAGCGUGAGUGACGGUAAUGGGUAAAGAAGCACCGGCUAACUACGUGCCAGCAGCCGCGGUGAUACGUAGGGUGCGAGCGUUGUCCGGAUUUAUUGGGCGUAAAGGGCUCGUAGGUGGUUGAUCGCGUCGGAAGUGUAAUCUUGGGGCUUAACCCUGAGCGUGCUUUCGAUACGGGUUGACUUGAGGAAGGUAGGGGAGAAUGGAAUUCCUGGUGGAGCGGUGGAAUGCGCAGAUAUCAGGAGGAACACCAGUGGCGAAGGCGGUUCUCUGGGCCUUUCCUGACGCUGAGGAGCGAAGGCGUGGGGAGCGAACAGGCUUAGAUACCCUGGUAGUCCACGCUGUAAACGGUGGGUACUAGGUGUGGGGUCCAUUCCACGGGUUCCGUGCCGUAGCUAACGCUUUAAGUACCCCGCCUGGGGAGUACGGCCGCAAGGCUAAAACUCAAAGGAAUUGACGGGGCCCCGCACAAGCGGCGGAGCAUGCGGAUUAAUUCGAUGCAACGCGUAGAACCUUACCUGGGUUUGACAUGGAUCGGGAGUGCUCAGAGAUGGGUGUGCCUCUUUUGGGGUCGGUUCACAGGUGGUGCAUGCCUGUCGUCAGCUCGUGUCGUGAGAUGUUGGGUUAGUUCCCGCAACGAGCGCAACCCUUGUUCACUGUUGCCAGCACGUUAUGGUGGGGACUCAGUGGAGACCGCCGGGGUCAACUCGGAGGAAGGUGGGGAUGACGUCAAGUCCUCAUGCCCCUUAUGUCCAGGGCUUCACGCAUGCUACAAUGGCUGGUACAGAGAGUGGCGAGCCUGUGAGGGUGAGCGAAUCUCGGAAAGCCGGUCUCAGUUCGGAUUGGGGUCUGCAACUCGACCUCAUGAAGUCGGAGUCGCUAGUAAUCGCAGAUCAGCAACGCUGCGGUGAAAAAGUUCCCGGGGCU